GACACUUUGGCCGAGUUGGUCUAAGGCGCUAGACUCAAGUUCUAGUAUCGUAAGAUGCACGCGUUCGAAUCGCGUAGGUGUCA
rnacentral:tRNA from 1 species